UGGCGAACGGGUGAGUAACGCGUGAGGAACCUGCCUCAAAGAGGGGGACAACAGUUGGAAACGACUGCUAAUACCGCAUAAGCCCACGACCCGGCAUCGGGAAGAGGGAAAAGGAGCAAUCCGCUUUGAGAUGGCCUCGCGUCCGAUUAGCUAGUUGGUGAGGUAACGGCCCACCAAGGCGACGAUCGGUAGCCGGACUGAGAGGUUGAACGGCCACAUUGGAACUGAGACACGGCCCAG
rnacentral:rRNA from 1 species